rnacentral:lncRNA from 1 species
AAAAAAUAGAUGGUCCCUAGUUUCAUUCUUCUCCCCACACAGCAAACACUCCUGAUGUAAACCCCAAACCCUCAUACGAUCUCCUGUAGACAGCCGAUUCUUGAUUAAAAGCCAAGUAAUGAAAGAAAAUCUAGGAACAGCCUGCGUGAACCAAACCACAGUGCUCCAAUCAACUUUCUCACGCCUGUCUCUGAGUUGAUCCCAUGUCCUACUAGCUGAAAAGAACCCCUUAUAAUCAUCCUGAGCAUGCUUCCACAAAACAAUGUCUGGACCUAGGUCACUCACAGGUAAAGGCCGUUCUUGAAUCUGCGCAAUGAGAUCCUGGAAAACACAGGUCCUUCCUCCUC